rnacentral:rRNA from 1 species
UACGUAGGGACCGAGCGUUGUCCGGAUUCAUUGGGCGUAAAGAGCUCGUAGGCGGCCACUCAAGUCGAAUGUGAAACCUCGAGGCUUAACCUCGAGCCUGCAUUCGAUACUGGGCGGCUAGAGUCUGGUAGGGGGAUCUGGAAUUCCUGGUGUAGCGGUGGAAUGCGCAGAUAUCGGGAAGAACACCCGUGGCGAAGGCGGUUCUCUGGGACGGUACUGACGCUGAGACGCGAAAGCGUGGGGAGCGAACAGG